CAGCCGCCGCGGUAAUACGUAGGGUGCAAGCGUUAAUCGGAAUUACUGGGCGUAAGGCGUGCGCAGGCGGUUCGUUAAGACAGAUGUGAAAUCCCCGGGCUUAACCUGGGAACUGCAUUUGUGACUGGCGGGCUAGAGUAUGGCAGAGGGGGGUAGAAUUCCACGUGUAGCAGUGAAAUGCGUAGAGAUGUGGAGGAAUACCGAUGGCGAAGGCAGCCCCCUGGGCCAUUACUGACGCUCAUGCACGAAAGCGUGGGGAGCAAACAGGAUUAGAUACCCCUGUAGUCCCUGUCUCUUAUAC
rnacentral:rRNA from 1 species